GAAAAAUAUUAAGUUUCAGCCUACCUUGUGUGAGGAGUUGAACUUUGAGGAUUACCUGCACGGGGAGAUGCCAUUGGAGUGGAUGGCUGCGGUUCCGGUGGAGGGCAGUUUUUGCCAUCUCAUUUACAUACAAAAGAGUGGAGGAAGUUUAUAUGGCAAUGUUGGUUUUGGAGUUUUAAUAAUAAAGAAAAAAAGAAAAAAAAAAGAAAAAGUUUGUUUGAUAAUUCAUCUGAAGGAAUCGUUGGUAACACAAUCGCUGGGAGGAUAUGUAAAUUAGUGUUUUUUAAGAGGAUUAUCAGGAGAUGGAGUUGGCGUCUCGCCUUGUUCGUCAUAAUCAGCCAGUGGAUACGUUUGUCGAAAGAACUGAUGUGGUUGUUUGUGCUUAUGGACUGGUUCGGUGGAAGCAGCUUCAAUUUAAAGAAUUAUUAUUUAUUAUUGUUACUUGUCCUAGGCGAGAUUGAUGUGUUUAAUUUGUAAGUUAUUUAAUUACUCUUUAAUAAAACUUGUUUUUGGCAUUCUUUUCUUAUAACAAUUGUUUAUUUAAUAUGGAGCAUUGGUCGGAACAUAUGUUACAAUGGCUAGAAGCCAAUGAGAUAAAUGUACAAAUUAGAAUAAGUACAAGAAGAAAGGAUGGGAGGGUUUCAACAUGGGGUCAGACUUACUGUGAAAACUCAGGAAGUAACCCAGUUUUCACACUUGUAAACCUCUUUUGUGAAAUCAACAAUCUAAUAUUAAUUCAUUUAGUCCAUAAACUGCAUAAAAACAUUAAAAAUAAGAUAAUAAUACUAAAAGCACUAAUAUAGCAGUUAAAAACUUUGAUAUAGAAACAUUUUCAGUCCUGACUCUUCAGCUAACAAAAAAUAUACAUAAGAAC
rnacentral:lncRNA from 1 species